AAGCUGUCUAUGCAAUCACCU
rnacentral:misc_RNA from 1 species